UGUUUCGACUAAAUAACUACAUUCACAUUCGAGGACGAAUGUCCUUAAGGGGGGAAGGAUGUAACACCCCGUACUUAAUUACGUGCAUUAGCCAUGGUUAUAUGUGUUGGAGUAUAUGUAUUGAUCAUAAGUUAGGUAUAUAUGAGUUUAAGUAUGAGUAUUGAUUAUUUUGAGAUGGUUUCAAGUGUAUAGUUUGAUUAUAUGUGUAUAGGAAUCGACUUUAUUUAUACCGGAAUUUGCUCGUCGAAGUUUCUAUGCGAAGUUUAUCGAGUUAGCUUUCCAACGAUAUAAAGAUUUUUGAAAACAGCUGAGUAUCGGAUAUAAGCGAGCAUGUUCGAAACUUGAAAAUGGUGGACGCAAUGAACAGUAAAUGUGCAGAAAUUUUCUGCACACAAAAGUAUUGCAGCCAAACAGAUUUUUGGGUCGACUUUAAAC
rnacentral:lncRNA from 1 species